UACAGAGGGGGCAAGCGUUGUUCGGAAUUACUGGGCGUAAAGGGCGCGUAGGCGGCCCGCUAAGUCGAACGUGAAAUCCCUGGGCUCAACCCAGGAACUGCGUCCGAUACUGGCAGGCUUGAAUCCGGGAGAGGGAUGCGGAAUUCCAGGUGUAGCGGUGAAAUGCGCAGAUAUCGGGAGGAACACCAGUGGCGAAGGCGGCACUCUGGGCCGGAACUGACGCUGAGGAGCGAAAGCGUGGGGAGCGAACAGG
rnacentral:rRNA from 1 species